AGAAUCAACGCUGGCGGCGCGCCUAACACAUGCAAGUCGAACGAGAAAGUGGAGCAAUCCAUGAGUAAAGUGGCGUACGGGUGAGUAACACGUGGAUCAUCUACCUUUUAGUGAGGAAUAACCAUGGGAAACCGUGGCUAAUACCGCAUAAGCCCGAGAGGGGAAAGUCGAAAGACGCUGAAAGAGGAGUCCGCGGCCGAUUAGCUAGUUGGCAGGGUAACAGCCUACCAAGGCAAAGAUCGGUAGCCGGCCUGAGAGGGCACACGGCCACACUGGCACUGAAACACGGGCCAGACUCCUACGGGAGGCAGCAGUGGGGAAUCUUGCACAAUGGGGGAAACCCUGAUGCAGCGACGCCGCGUGAGCGAUGAAGCCCUUCGGGGUGUAAAGCUCUUUCGUCAGGGAAGAUUAUGACGGUACCUGGAGAAGCAGCUGCGGCUAACUACGUGCCAGCAGCCGCGGUAAUACGUAGGCAGCGAGCGUUGUUCGGAGUUACUGGGCGUAAAGGGUGUGUAGGCGGUUGUUUAAGUUUGGUGUGAAAUCUCCCGGCUCAACUGGGAGGGUGCGCCGAAUACUGAGUGACUUCGAGUGCGGGAGAGGAUAGUGGAAUUCCUGGUGUAGCGGUGAAAUGCGUAGAUAUCAGGAGGAACACCGGUGGUGUAGACGGCUAUCUGGACCGUAACUGACGCUGAGACACGAAAGCGUGGGUAGCAAACAGGAUUAGAUUCCCUGGUAGUCCACGCCCUAAACGAUGCAUAUUUGAUGUGGGCAGUUCAUUCUGUCCGUGCCGGAGCUAACGCGUUAAAUAUGCCGCCUGGGGAGUACAGUCGCAAGGCUGA
rnacentral:rRNA from 1 species